UUGAUCAAGAACUAAGGGAACGACAAUCAUAGCAACGAAUGUACAUAAUAAAGCAAAGAAUAAUAAAGAAUAACGGUAGAACGUGCGUCUUCGUAACUGAUUCUGCUUCCGAGUAUAAAUAGGUGGCCGAAUUUGACGACUGGGGUGUAACCAAAAUAAUAAAACUGAAUGAGGAAUAUCGAUAAACGGGAUACAAAGAAUCGGCGUUAAUGAAAACAAAAUGCAAUGAGAAAGGA